rnacentral:rRNA from 1 species
AUGGGAAGGCUGGCCGUCACCGCCGCGGUGGCCGCAUGGGCUAUCCCGAUCGCCGCCUUGGUUGACUCCAUCGUGCCUGACCCCUACAUGGAUGAGAUAUUCCAUGUUCCCCAGGCGCAACACUAUUGCCGUGGAGAUUUCUUAACGUGGGAUCCCAUGAUCACCACCCCUCCUGGCCUGUACUACAUUUCUCUAGCAUAUCUUGCUUCCCUGUUUCCUGGUGCAUGGGCUAUUAAGGUAGCAGAGGCAUUUGACCCCCUUUGCACCACGGCACUUCUCCGGUCAACUAAUGUUAUAAUGGCAAUGGUCUGUGGUGUUCUUGUCCAUGACCUGCUUCUGUGUAUCAAGCCAGGAAUUGGCAAGAUGAAGGCAACUGCUUAUGCUAUUCUUGUAGCGUUGUAUCCUGUUCACUGGUUCUUUACCUUUCUGUAUUAUACUGAUGUCGCAUCAUUAGCUGCAGUUCUUGCGAUGUACCUGUCCUGCUUGAAGAAACGGUUUUGGGUCAGCGCACUGUUCGGUGCUCUCUCAAUACUUUUCCGGCAGACUAAUGUAAUAUGGAUGAUAUUUUUUGCUGCCAAUGGAGCCAUUGCAUAUGUGCAAGAUCUUUCUCUCAGUGACUGCCCUUCUGAUGAGAACAGUGAACCAACAGAUAAAUCAAGAGCAGAAGUGUCUGACAGGGAUAGCAAAGUCAGUGCUUUAGGUUUGAGAAGGCGGCGAACUAAUCACUCCAUAAGUAAGAGGGGAGUUGUUUCUGGAUCUACUAAAUCACACACGAGUUUUACGGAAGAACUAUUUGACAUCGGCUUCAAAAUAUGGAAUUCAAAGUGUAAAGUUUUAAUCACUUUUGCACCGUUCGCAAUAGUUCUGGUGACAUUUGGAGCAUUUAUAAUCUGGAAUGGUGGCAUAGUACUAGGUGCCAAGGAAGCUCAUGUUGUUUCACCACAUUUUGCACAGUUAUUGUACUUUGGUCUAGUGUCAGCUACUGCCCUCCUACCGUGGCAUUUUACUCCCGGACGAGUAUCAGACUUGUUCCACUGGUGUAGAAAGAACAAAACCUUUAGUUCUCUGGCAAUGCUGAUAGCUCUUGGUUUAAGCUUUGUGGCUAUACAUUUAUUCAGUAUUGCUCACCCUUAUCUUCUGGCUGACAAUAGACAUUACACGUUCUAUAUCUGGAGGAAGGUCAUACAAGCUCACUGGAUGAUGAAAUACAUUUUGAUUCCACUUUAUGUGUACUCAUGGUUUUCAGUUAUCAACAUCUUAGUUUUUCCUGAUCUUACAGGGAAAUCGCAGCCAAGAGUUUGGGUGGUGUCCUUUGUUUUCUCAGUUGCUCUAGUUCUCGUCCCUGCUCCGUUGGUUGAAUUUAGAUACUACACAAUCCCAUUGGUCGUACUGGUCCUUAAUUCUCCAGUAAUCGGUAAUGGCAAAUUGCUUGCUUUGGGGUCUGCAUAUGCUGCUGUGGAUUUGUUCACUCUGGCGAUGUUUCUGUUCAGACCAUUCCAUUGGGGCCAUGAGCCGGGAACACAAAGGUUCAUGUGGUAG